rnacentral:lncRNA from 1 species
UCGAAACAGACGUACGGGAAGGAUGAAUUAAGAUAACACGAAGAAAAAAAUCACAGAGAAGCAAUCAGACGCAGGAGGAAGAAAAUUAACGAACAUUCCAGCAGCAAAUUAAUUAAACUCCACCAAUCACGACUGAAGAAUAUCAACGCAGCUUGAUCAUAUCAUCCCAUCUAGCUUGCUAGUACGUAACUAGCUAGCUAAUAAAUAAAACUCGAUGUAAGCAAGAACAGCCGGCUAGCUGGCUCAUACUCAAACUAAUCAGUUCAUCACUAAUGAUUAAGCUCGACCAUGCAUGAAUGACGCAGGAGCUAGCUAGGUAAUUAGUUAAGGUAAUAGGUGAGGUGAUGUGUGGGAGGAGGCGGAGGCGGGGGGCGGAGAAGACGAUGGCAGCGGGUGCAGGAGAAGCGCUUCUUGUUGCGGAGGCAGAGCGGCAGGCACAGGAUCCGGCGCGCGCUCUCCACCUCCGUCGCCACCACCGCGCCGCCGCACCGCGGGCACGACCCCGGCGCCUUCUGCGGCGACCCCGUCAGCUCCCUCUCCUCCUCCGCCCCGCACCACCCCAUCGCCCUCCUCGCCGCCGCCUCCAUUGAUGCCGCCCGCCUAGCUCCCUCUCGCCCGGCCUCUACGUACCUCAAGUCCUCAACUGAAUUUGCACAGCUCGAUUAGCAAAGCUCAGAUGAUGAGAGAGAGCCAACCAAUUAAGAACAAGCAAGCGUGAGAAAUGCGCGCUGUGCAGUUCAUGGUGGUGUGUCUGUGUAGUGU